UAUGGGAGGUGUGUGCUGGAUGUUAUUUAGGUGUUGUGGAGUGUAGCUUGUUAUGGGAGGUGUGUGCUGGAUAUUUGUUAAGGUGUUGUGAAGUGUAGCUUGUUAUGGGAGGUGUGUGCUGGAUGUUGUUAAGGUGUUGUUGUGAGUGUAGCUUGUUAUGGGAGGUGUGUGCUGGAUGUUGUUAAGGUGUUGUGAGUGUAGCUUAUUAUGGGAGUGUGUGCUGGAUGUUGUUAAGGUGUUGUGAGUGUAGCUUGUUAUGGGAGGUGUGUGCUGGAUGUUGUUAAGGUGUUGUGAGUGUAGCUUGUUAUGGGAAGUGUGUGCUGGAUGUUGUUAAGGUGUUGUGAAUGUAGCUUGUUAUGGGAGGUGUGUGCUGGAUGUUGUUAAGGUGUUGUGAGUGUAGCUUGUUAUAGGAGGUGUGUGCUGGAUGUUGUUAAGGUGUUGUGAGUGUAGCUUGUUAUGGGAGGUGUGUGCUGGAUGUUGUUAAGGUGUUGUGAGUGUAGCAGACUGUUGUGGUGAGUGAGUA